UUUUGAAUAAAACAAGCAGGUUAUGUGUAAAGGAUUGGUCUGUGCAGAUACUUAAGGAGUUGACGACAGCCUGACUCAGAUCAGUAUCACUAGUACCGACAUGAGAGCAGUUCUUUUCCUCGUCUUUGCUUCAGCGCUGCUUCUAGCGGCUGUUGAUGCCCAAAGCUGUGGCCGAUUUGACAGAUGUUUGACGGGCAGAAUCUGUGACCUUGAGUGCCCCGGAUGUAACGGACGUACUGUUUGCCACCACCAGGGACCUUUCAUCGGACACUGCGUUUGUGAAGGAACAACGACACAGAGCAGUUCGUAGUUUGGUUUGGGGAAUAAAUAAACUCCAACCUGU